UCUAACAUACCGGCGGUGUGGAGUACAUUGUGGAAGAUUAAGGUCCCACGUAAAGUAUCAAUUUUUGGAUGGCGUAUGCUUCAUGGGAUUAUUCCCCUAAAAGGUAUACUGGUGAAUCGGCACAUAGGUACAAUUGGGUCCUGUCCUAUAUGCCAUCAACAUGCAGAAGAUAUCAGCCAUCUCUUUUUUCAAUGUAUGCAUGCGAAGGGUUUGUGGCAACGUUUAGGCCUAAGUGAUAUGAUUGCCACAUCAAUUAUUGUGGAUCGUUCAGGGUCAGUUGUUCUGGAACAUAUUCUAUUACUUCCUAAUACACCACUACAGAUCAUGCCUUCUUUGGACAUUAAGCAAGUGAUUCUGGUUGGCUGUUGGUACCUUUGGUGGACUCUUCGACGGAUCAUUCACAACGAAGCGUACCCGCCACCAGAAAGAUGA
rnacentral:rRNA from 1 species